AGAACCAGAGCCUUUCCUUACUGAGUGCAAAUGAUUGAAAAUCUCAGGCUACAAAAGUGGGAGGCAUGCACCUCCCCAACAGAGACAUGCCAUUGCCAGUGGGGACACUGGAAUCCCUUUCCCCAGGCAGUGUGGGAUGGGUGUGGCCGUGUGCCUAGGACUGGCUCUUUUCUACUUCUCUGCUGCAGACCUGACCCCUUCUGACUGGCAUCUUUUCCUUUAGAUACGCAGGUCUCACUGGCCUGGGCCCCAUUCUGUCUCUUUUUAGCAUGGCUUGGCCUUUGUCUGCUUUGAUUUCUAUGUGUCAAUUUUAUGGUCAAACUCCCAAAAAGCAACCUCAUUCCUCUAGGGAAUGGGCUCCCUCAGUUUGCUCCCUUGAAAUACCUGCGAUUCUUUAUUCUCCUGAACCCUGCUCUACAACCUCUGUAUUUUUCUGAGAAAAAUCAGAAAUAACCAGAACCCAGACCUGGAAGCUAGACCCCAGACAUAGGUCAUCCACCUCUCGGGCUCUGGGGCCUGCUCAGGAUGUGCAUGCUGGGGAGUGGAGCACCCUCUCCAUGGGCUGGCCUGUCCUCAGGCCCCACAACAGACAGUGGUCCUGAGCCGGGACAGCAGGAUGACAAAGGCUCACAUUUGCACUCUGGAGCAAAAACAUCACCGGAUGGAAAUUGAAGUAGAGAGAAAAAGAAUGAGUAUAGGGGAUGAGGAAUCUCUGAUGUUAACUCAGGGGUACCAUCAGUCCCCUAAAGCUGCAAAUAAUGUGAAUCAAUCCCUCUCUCUCUCUCUGUCUCUCACUCACACACACACACACACACACACACACACACACACACACACACACACACACUUAUCUUGAGAGCCUUCCAAUUUUUUUCUGCAAUGCACGGACCUCACAAAAAAAUGACUCAGCCUUACAUAAGAGACGGGAAUUUGAGGGGGACCAGGAGUGUGAUGACUCAUUGCCUUGAAAUUUCCAGUGGGAUACACAUGUUUUCUUAGAUGAUUUUUUAAACAUUUAUCUUUAAUGAUUGUCCAAAAUAAAUGGUUGGGGAGGCAGAAUGGAGUGAGAAUCCCACGUCAGGGCAGGAAAGAAUAGUCAUGAUGAAGAGGAGGGGGCAGGAGGCUGAGGACAGGGCCCUUUCAGGUCAGGUCUCAGAAUGUUCUGGUGAGAAUCCAGAACUCUCCUCCCAGGACCUCAGGGCAUUUCAGGAACUGUAAUAAUACAAUCACUUCGUAUAGCAAGAAUCAGCCCCUGAGGUCUCCAGGAAGUACCUUGAUUUGAAAGAGCUGUGACCAACCUCAGUGGCAUGUCCAACUACCACGCUGCAGAAGUCUGUGAGGCCGUGGUCCUCAGCCCUUUGCACAGAUUAAAACCCCAAUCCCAGCCGCACCCCAGACCAAUCAAUCAGGAUCUCUGGAGAUGGGGCCCAGGCAUCUAUAUAUAUGUAUAUAUAUAUAUUUUUUUAAUUCCUCAGAUGAUUCCAAUGUACAGCCAAUGAUGAGCAGCUGCUGGGCUGAAGGGACUGGGGCCAUUUUAUACCAGUUGUAGGAUGUUACACAGAAAUGCCUGAAAAGCAAGGAGCAGCUAUCAGAAUGUUUGGUGACACAGCUCCUCCUGUCGUGGUUCCUUCGGCAUGGACUUCACAUUCAGCAGAUCCAUGAGGUGUUCCCUUUCGGAUGAGCUCCAAGGUCUUAAGAGAGCAUCUCUAGUCUGCGUGAGUCCGUCUGAACGACGGUCCUGAGCAAGAACCACCUAUAACCAUCUGCUCAAAAUAACUCAGGGGAAGUCAAAGCUUUCUAUGUGGAAGGUGACUGAAACCACAUACACAGACCACUGCAGCAUUCCUGACAUUAUGGAACUUGGAAAUGAUUCCAAACAUGGCCAUAGCUUGAGUAACAUGUUUUGCUAUGACAAGAACUUGGACUGUAGUCCUUCCCCCUCUCAAGAAUGUGACAUCACACCUUAUCAGAUCCUACGAGUGAGCUACUGACCUCAACCACUGAACUUCAAACUAUGUAAAAACCUAAGGGUUCGACAGACACUUUGAGAGCUUGGGCUGUGGCAAGCUACACUCUGUCAGCCUCUCUUCGACAGGGCCCCACCCUGCUAGCCUUUGAACUUGGAAGCAUCGCCCACAAACACCAGUGCCACCCUCUAGCCUUGAGGGACCAUAUAUGUCUCUGUGAAUCUCCGUUGCAUUGGACAGCUUCUCUCCCAAGAGCUGCUCUUAUAAAAGAGACACACCACAUUUUAAUGAGGCUUCGCUCUCCACAGAGGCCUGCUUCCAUCCUAAUUGAGCAAGUAGACUUUAGUAACUUUGGAACUCACUCACCCCGUGACUAAUACACC
rnacentral:lncRNA from 1 species